UACAGAGGGUGCAAGCGUUAUUCGGAAUUACUGGGCGUAAAGAGCGCGUAGGCGGCUCGAUAAGUCUGAUGUGAAAUCCCUGGACUCAAUUCAGGAAGUGCAUUGGAUACUGUCGAGCUAGAGUGAAGGAGAGGAAAGCGGAAUUCCCGGUGUAGAGGUGAAAUUCGUAGAUAUCGGGAGGAACAACAGAGGCGAAGGCGGCUUUCUGGACUUCAACUGACGCUGAGGCGCGAAAGCGUGGGGAGCAAACAGG
rnacentral:rRNA from 1 species